GGAAGGGUGGGGAUGACGUACAAAUCAGCGACCGGCCCUUACGUCCGGGGCGACACACGUGUUACAAUGGGUGGUACAAAGGGCAGCUACCUGGCGACAGGAUGCUAAUCUCCAAAACCGCUCUCAGUUCGGAUCGGAGUCUGCAACUCGACUCCGUGAAGCUGGAUUCGCUAGUAAUCGCGCAUCAGCCACGGCGCGGUGAAUACGUUCCCGGGCCUU
rnacentral:rRNA from 1 species